GUUUAUAUAAUUUAAAAUUAAAAUACCAUAUUUUCAUUAUGGAAAUAAUAAUAAUUAUUUAUAAAUU
rnacentral:tRNA from 1 species